AUGAACGCUGGCGGCGUGCCUAAUACAUGCAAGUCGAGCGAACAGACGAGGAGCUUGCUCCUCUGACGUUAGCGGCGGACGGGUGAGUAACACGUGGAUAACCUACCUAUAAGACUGGGAUAACUUCGGGAAACCGGAGCUAAUACCGGAUAAUAUAUUGAACCGCAUGGUUCAAUAGUGAAAGACGGUUUUGCUGUCACUUAUAGAUGGAUCCGCGCCGCAUUAGCUAGUUGGUAAGGUAACGGCUUACCAAGGCAACGAUGCGUAGCCGACCUGAGAGGGUGAUCGGCCACACUGGAACUGAGACACGGUCCAGACGCCUACGGGAGGCAGCAGUAGGGAAUCUUCCGCAAUGGGCGAAAGCUUGACGGAGCAACGCCGCGUGAGUGAUGAAGGUCUUCGGAUCGUAAAACUCUGUUAUUAGGGAAGAACAAAUGUGUAAGUAACUAUGCACGUCUUGACGGUACCUAAUCAGAAAGCCACGGCUAACUACGU
rnacentral:rRNA from 1 species